AUUGAACGCUAGCUACAGGCUUAACACAUGCAAGUCGAGGGACCGGCGCACGGGUGAGUAACGCGUAUCCAACCUUCCCAAUACUCAGGCAUAACCCGUUGAAAGACGGACUAAUUCCUGAUGGUAUUGUAUGGGGAUGCGUCUGAUUAGUUUGUUGGUGAGGUAAAUGCUCACCAAGACUUCGAUCAGUAGGGGUUCUGAGAGGAAGGACCCCCAGAUUGGAACUGAGACACGGUCCAAACUCAUACGGGAUGCAGCAGUGAGGAAUAUUGGUCAAUGGAUGCAAAUCUGAACCAGCCAAGUAGCGGGCAGGAUGACGGCCUAUGGGUUGUAAACUGCUUUUAAGUGAGAAUAUGUAUCACAUGAAUAAGGACCGGCUAAUUCCGUGCCAGCAGCCGCGGUAAUAC
rnacentral:rRNA from 1 species